UAAGCUAGGAUCGUAAAGAAAUCAGCUGGGCCAGCUCGCCCAAAGCUCAAGCUAAGCUGGAAGGAGUGACGGUUACUCAGGUCGAGUUACAGUCCAGCUCGGGCAGCUGGACGAGUGACGGUUGAGCUCGAGGUAGCUGGACGAGUGACGGUUGAGCUCGAGGUAGCUGGACGAGUGACGGACUAGCUGGGCGGUUAUGGGCGAAGAGAUACAACUCCUCAGAAAGGUGCAACUCUUCGGAAGGGCGCAACUCUUCGGAAAGGUGCAACUUUUCGGAAAGGUGCAAGGAACGGAUGUGUUGAUUCGGGAAGCAUCCAUUCGCCCCCUAUAUAACGAAGGGCGCCCAGGACCAUUCCACUCACCACAACACACCGAAAACACAAGAAACUCAUCAUUAAAACUCUCUCCCUCUUGGGAGAAUAAAUAGUCUUAGGAUUCGGUAGCCGGGCUGUGGCCGGCAAUAAAGAAGGAGGGUCGGAUCGACCAAAGGAAGGUGAGGGCUCCUAGACUUUGAGUCUAAGGGUUCUAGGAUGUGAGUUAGUAGUCGGAUCCUUGAAAGGAUUGACUAGUGGGCUGGGUAGUAUCCGAGUCAUGUGCAUCCUACACAAGACUCGGUCCGGGUAGGGAUCGGCUGAGGCGGGGACGCGACUCGGCGGAGGACCGGCGGGUCUUAACUGACCUGCCGAGAAUCGGCCGGACUGAUGCGCGAUCUUCCCCUCUCUGAAUCCUCUCCACGGAUCCGAGUAGUGUAUGGCAUAUAGAGCAUUGCAUGGACUUGCAUAUGACUAAGUAAAUGAGAUUACUUAUGGCUCAAUGACUUUCAGGAACGAAUGGUGAUCGUGGGAAGGACUUGGCUUAGGCGCGAGAGACUCAAGACCGGGAUGAUGGGUGGUGAUAGUUCGGAUAGUUUAGGGAUCGAUUAUAUGACUUGUAAUAGCUUAUAUGCAAACUCAUAGGUUGUAUCGAAUCCUUUGCUUAAUCAAUAAAGUAUCCAGUUGUUUGUUUACUCUAUUCGUCUCAUAUAUUGAAUCACGGAAUCAUAUGGAACGGAUUAGACUAGGAAAGAACCUCAUAAACGGUUAGGGCUGAGUCACUUAGUGGCUUGGGUCGAGAGAACUCGUCCGGACUUAGGCAGU
rnacentral:sRNA from 1 species